rnacentral:sRNA from 1 species
UAAUAGCCCCGAUAGCAGCGACAUCCUUUUUUGGCGGUCUGAAAGACAAGACAAAAAAGAUACAGCGGAUAGCGGGAUUGGCU